UUCAGAAAAGGUCGCGCAAGCCUACGGCGUAAGUCCAAACGUGGGCGUCAGCCUGUGCGACAGACCGCGUUACCACACCAUCGACCGUGGAGCUGUGUUGACGCACUUCACCUGAGCAGUCUGAGUGCCAGGAGACAUCUGCUGGAACUGGGGACAGGAUAGACAGGAACUUCGGUGGCUGUGGAAAAUUCCAGAAAAGUUCUCCUCUGCGAUUAAAUCAGUCCAUCCAUCGAACCUAUUCCUAUGCAGGGCUGCAGUGGUCCAGUGCCUAUCCAAGCAGAUGCAGGCACAAAGCAGUGAAGAACCUGGGAUGGGGCACCAUCCCUUUGCAGGGCAGUGUGCUGAGGUUAGCAUGGUCUCCUCACACCUCUGGAGACCAGGGUGGGAUUUUCUGCCCCAGCUUCAUGUGUGGAGCUUGCAUGUUCCACUGGGUUCUCCGGUUCCCCCUCCCCAAUUCUAAGAACACUCAGAGGUGAAUUGGACUCGCCAAGUCGUCUGCAGCAGGCACUACAUGUGGGAGGGGCAUCCAUGCUUAGCCAGCAGCACGGUGGGACUGGAGCCUUCCCCAACCCAGCUGUAGGGUUUGAACCCACAACCUUCCGGCCACGGCACAGAUAGCUCACCUCCGGAGCUACACCCCACCCCAUGAGAGAAAAGCCUCAACUGGGAUUCAGCAAAAGGUUCUAAAAAGGCAUCUUUCUGUUAGAGGUGGAAUUUCGUUAUUUUGUUACAAAAUGGCCUGUGACGCUAUAACAGCUUCUGCCAUUUGCCCGAGCCUGUUUGACACAGAAAAGUAAAAAUUAAUGAAACCCAUGUUAUCCACCUUGUUCCACAGCGUCUUUUCCAUUCACCCUCGUGUGCUGGAUUAAUCUCUUAGGAAUAGCAUUCGCCUCGUCCCACAAAAGGAAGGCGACAUUGUCACCAGCAAAGAAGGAGAAACGGUGAGUGAUUUUGCCGCCUCACGAAGAUGCUGUUCAGCAAGCCAUCACCUUUUGCAGCUCCUGUUUCAUACCAUGCAGAUUCUUCAUUCGCUUUAAGUAAAAUAUCAUGUUGACGGACACCCCGCCAUGUGUUCAAUCAUCAUGCUCUGGACUUCCUCCCAUGACUAGCUGCGCGCAGCGCUGAUUGGACUGGUGAAAUAUUCAAGAAUCGUACUGACAGACAAUGAUUGUCUGAGGGGACUUGGUCUGAGCUGCAGAGGCAGGUUUGUUGAUUCUGGGGCCCAAAUCAUAAAGUUGAGGGCCCCUCUGCUCCCUCAAGUGUAGUGACUGUUUGUGGCCAGCAUGGGCCCCCAAACCUUUGGGUCCCAUCCGAAUGUAUGGUGGCAGACGCUGCCUCACCUUGAGAGAGCAUUGGGGCGGAGGGUGGAAUUUUACUUUUGCUCACCCACGUUCUUUCUGCUUGCAUAUGGAUUCAGAACAAACCAGGUGAACUGCUGUCUCCUGACUGCCCCUAGUGACCCAUCCAGAGUAUCUGCCAGGUCUUUCCUCAUCUUUUCACUCCUCUGGUCUACCUGCUCAAGCCAGGACUCAGGCACGGUGCUCAGUAUGGCUCCGUUUUGCCAGAUGAUCACCACUCAGUCACUCUGGUUCUGAGGAGCUUAGGAGCAGAUCACAGAUGCGUGUUCACCA